UCCUUGCUCGGAGGAGCCGCGAUCGAGUUCGUUGCGUGCGCGUUUCGGCGUGUCACGCGGCGAAGACGCGGAUCUCUGGCUGGCCGUCGGACAGUAUGCUCAACGGUGUCCGGUGUCGUCGUCUCGUACGCGCGCGCACCGGUACCGGUCAGCGACGAAUUCUUCGGGCCUCUUUCCGACCCGUCUUGAAACACGGACCAAGGAGUCUAACAUGCGCGCGAGUCGCGGGGUGUCGAGCGUACCUCGGUACGUUCGUUACGUUGCGAAACCCGUACAUGUCGAAGGCGUAAUGAAAGUGAAUGGGGAAGAUGGUGUUCCGAGUACACGUUCCGCGAUCACUGGCAUCGCGGCCGGACACCCGCAUUCCCGGGGCGUCUCAACGGCCCGUCGCUGAUGCGGACAUUCGUCGGUCGGCGACGAACCGAGGCGCACCUAUAGCGUGCACGUUGGUACCCGAAAGAUG
rnacentral:rRNA from 1 species